GAUUGGUCCUCAGGUGGUAAGCACAUGUUCAGUCACAAAGGUCUGCUUAAAUUCUGACUGCGCAACCAUCAGAUUUAACUUUCUAAUGAUGGGCUGUCUAAUGUACAAGUGCCAACUUUCUAUAGCUGCCUAGAGAGGAAUUCAGAUGUAAAUGUGUGCAUUGUAUGGUUCGGAGUUGGGGAUUUUAAAAAAAAUUGAGGGGUGGUACAUCAGUUAAGGAUUUUAAUACAAUAUCAACUCAUAGAACAUAAUAGAACUUUGGAUUUCAUUGACCAGAAUUCUAUUACUAUUUACAUUUAGUAAUGCAAGUCUUGGUGGCAAAUUGGUGCUCAUUUAUAAGGUGCUUAGUCUGUUCCUAGAAGCAUAUCCUGUCAGGUGAUCAGGCACAUGCCUAGGAAAACAACCAGAACCGCGUUAAUGAUUGAGCAUUUGCCACCAUGACAAUAUUAUUUCCCCUAUGCAACUAUAAAUUGCACCAUGUACAAGCAGUUCAGCCCAUCCUUUCAACAUAAAACCACCAUUUCUCUGUUUUUACUUUUUCCUAGUGGUGGAUCUGUAGUUUUCCCCAGAAUCAACCUUAGAGAGGCAGAAAGCAUUGGAACUCAUCCUGGAACAUUUACACCACGUUAAACAAUGAAUCUUGGAGAAAUAUUCCAUCAGAAAGGCAUAUCAAGACAUCAAGAUAUAAAAUAAAACAAAAAAAUACCGAUAAAUCUGCA
rnacentral:lncRNA from 1 species